AGAGUUUGAUCCUGGCUCAGGGUUAACGCUGGCGGCGUGCCUAACACAUACAAGUCGAACGGUUCUAAGCGCGAGCUUAGGAUAGUGGCGAACGGGUGAGUAAAAGGUAGGAAUCUACCCCUUGGACGGAGAUAGCUACUGGAAACGGUAGGUAAACUUCGAUAAGCCCGAGAGGGGAAAGUGGUGAGACAGCCGAGGGAUGAGCCUACUCUCCAUCAGGUAGUUGGUGAGAUAAAAGCUUACCAAGCCGAUGACGGAUAACCGGUGUGAGAGCAUGAACGGUCACAAGGGCACUGAGAGACGGGCCCUACUCCUACGGGAGGCAGCAGUGGGGAAUCUUGGACAAUGGGCGAAAGCCUGAUCCAGCGACGCCGCGUGGAGGAAGAAGUCCUUCGGGAUGUAAACUUCUGAACUAGCCGAAUAAAAGGCCUGUGGACACACAGGAGAAGAAAGUAGGCUAGGAAAAGUCCCGGCUAACUACGUGCCAGCAGCCGCGGUAAGACGUAGGGGGCAAGCGUUACCCGGAAUUACUGGGCGUAAAGGGGGCGUAGGCGGUAAAAGAAGUCAUCUGUGAAAACCUAUUGCUCAACGAUAGGCUAGCGGAUGAAACUGAAUUACUUGAGGGCACCAGAGGUAGACGGAAUUACCCGAGUAGGGGUGAAAUCCGCAGAUACGGGUAGGAACGCCGGUGGAGAAGUCGGUCUACUGGGGUGCACCAGACGCUGAGGCCCGAAAGCUAGGGGAGCAAACCGGAUUAGAUACCCGGGUAGUCCUAGCCGUAAACGAUGCUCACUAGGUGUAGGGAGUGAUAAACUCUCUGUGCUGAAGCGAACGCGCUAAGUGAGCCGCCUGGGGAGUACGUCCGCAAGGAUGAAACUCAAAUGAAUUGACGG
rnacentral:rRNA from 1 species